rnacentral:rRNA from 1 species
GUGGGGAAUCUUGCGCAAUGGGCGAAAGCCUGACGCAGCAACGCCGCGUGCGGGAUGACGGCCUUCGGGUUGUAAACCGCUUUCAGUGGGGACGAAACAAGACGGUACCCACAGAAGAAGCCCCGGCCAACUACGUGCCAGCAGCCGCGGUAACACGUAGGGGGCGAGCGUUGUCCGGAAUCAUUGGGCGUAAAGAGCUCGUAGGCGGCUCGGUAAGUCGGGUGUGAAACCCCCAGGCUCAACCUGGGGACGCCACCCGAUACUGCUGUGGCUAGAGUCCAGUAGGGGAGUGUGGAAUUCCCGGUGUAGCGGUGAAAUGCGCAGAUAUCGGGAGGAACACCAUCGGCGAAGGCGGCACUCUGGGCUGGAACUGACGCUGAGGAGCGAAAGCGUGGGUAGCAAACAGGAUUAGAAACCCUAGUAGUCC